AACCGCGGUUAAACGAGAGGCUCUAGUUGAUAUACUACGGCGUAAAGGGUGGUUAAGGAACAAUGUAAAAUAAAGCCAAACGGCCCUUUAACUGUUAUACGCUUUUAGAUGCUAGAGGCCCAAACACGAAAGUAGCUUUAAAUUAAUUACCUGAACCCACGAAAGCUAAGAAA
rnacentral:rRNA from 1 species